rnacentral:lncRNA from 1 species
AUCAAAAUUCUGGUAAUCACCAUACUAUGUUUGCCCCAGGUUCUUUUGUAUCCCCUGGAGCAAGAGCCAGGGAAUAAACGGGCAGGCUGCUCAAUAAACUUGCAGGUGACUGCAUUAUUAUGCUGCCCAUGGCCACAGAAAUGAAGUCCAGAGCCCACAGCUUUGUAUUCAGGACACUAACCCCUCCCAAGUGAUAUUACAUAGCUCACAUAUUUUGUAUGAAGAUAUGAAUGAAACAAAUGUGUUGCCACCACAAUCUAACGUAGCUGGGAGAGUAUGAGACGAAAGGAAAAAUGUAGGUUGGAUAUUUUUGUAUAACUCCAAACAGUAGCCAUCUGGGAGAAAUAAUGAGGGUUUUUCCCAGCAACUCAUCUCCUCCAGAACUAGUUUGACUCUCAGCUAGCUGAUAAAUGAGAACAAAGUUAUUUAUAGCUCAGUCAUAAAUGAGGUUCAAAUUCAUAUCUGCUGCCAGUUUAUAAGCCAUGUACUUGUGUUCCACAAGCUAAAAAAUCUGUUGUUUUUUUUUUUCAAAUUACCUGUAUUCCUGAAGUAACAACCAGAUCAUCAAUGGGACAUUAGGUAGCAUUUUCCUUCGAGCCAAGAGUAAACAUGAAUUAAGAAAUUUCAGGGAGACCUAGGCUAAGUAUCUCCACAGUCAGCAUAUUAGGGUAAGUUCCAUGGCUUUACAACUGCCACCAGGAUGCCAGCACUUAACAAAUGACAAUAUCUGGUGGGAACAGAGGGGUAACUGGAGUUGAAAGGAGAGUGUACAAGCAUCUGCUUAAUUCUUUUUUCACAGACCAGUCCUGAUAACUGCCUUCUGCCCUUUCAGCUCAAGUUGUAGGGGAAAGGAAGGAGGCCGUCUGUCUGUCAGAUAUCUGUUUGGCCAUUCUUUGUCUUGACUCCCUUUUCUUUCUCCUUCUUUUUCUUUUCUCAGGCAGUUGCGAGGAUUUCUAUCAGUACAUGAUAAUCUCUUGGCAGCUGGUAAUGAGCUGGGCUGGAACCAAACAAUGUCAACAAGGUGAACUUUGGGAAUGGCCCUAAAUCCAUCCUGGAGGCCACUUCAGAGGAGGUGGUUAUAGCAAUGGAAG